rnacentral:rRNA from 1 species
UGCCAGCCGCCGCGGUAAUACGUAGGUGGCAAGCGUUGUCCGGAAUUAUUGGGCGUAAAGAGCGCGUAGGCGGUUUGGUAAGUCUGAUGUGAAAUCCCGGAGCUCAACUCCGGAACUGCAUUGGAUACUGCCAGGCUUGAGUGUGGGAGAGGAGAGUGGAAUUCCCAGUGUAGAGGUGAAAUUCGUAGAUAUUGGGAGGAACACCCGUGGCGAAGGCGGCUCUCUGGACCACAACUGACGCUGAGGCGCGAAAGCUAGGGGAGCAAACGGGAUUAGAUA